rnacentral:rRNA from 1 species
GACAGAGGGGGCAAGCGUUGCUCGGAAUUACUGGGCGUAAAGGGCGCGUAGGCGGGAUGGCAAGUCGGUCGUGAAAUCCCUCGGCUCAACUGAGGAGCGUCGAUCGAAACUGCCGUUCUUGAGGGUUGCAGAGGAGACUGGAAUUCCCGGUGUAGCGGUGAAAUGUGUAGAGAUCGGGAGGAACACCGGUGGCGGAGGCGGGUCUCUGGGCAACUCCUGACGCUGAGGCGCGAAAGCGUGGGGAGCAAACGGG